AGAGUUUGAUCCUGGCUCAGAUUGAACGCUGGCGGCAUGCCUUACACAUGCAAGUCGAACGGUAACAGGUCUUCGGAUGCUGACGAGUGGCGAACGGGUGAGUAAUACAUCGGAACGUGCCCAGUAAUGGGGGAUAGCUCGGCGAAAGCCGGAUUAAUACCGCAUACGCCCUGAGGGGGAAAGUGGGGGACCGCAAGGCCUCACGUUAUUGGAGCGGCCGAUGGCUGAUUAGCUAGUUGGUAGGGUAAAGGCCUACCAAGGCGACGAUCAGUAGCUGGUCUGAGAGGACGAUCAGCCACACUGGGACUGAGACACGGCCCAGACUCCUACGGGAGGCAGCAGUGGGGAAUUUUGGACAAUGGGGGAAACCCUGAUCCAGCAAUGCCGCGUGUGCGAAGAAGGCCUUCGGGUUGUAAAGCACUUUUGUCAGGGAAGAAAUCCUUUGGGCUAAUACCCUAGGGGGAUGACGGUACCUGAAGAAUAAGCACCGGCUAACUACGUGCCAGCAGCCGCGGUAAUACGUAGGGUGCAAGCGUUAAUCGGAAUUACUGGGCGUAAAGCGUGCGCAGGCGGUUGUGUAAGACAGGUGUGAAAUCCCCGGGCUUAACCUGGGAAUUGCAUUUGUGACUGCACGACUAGAGUGUGUCAGAGGGGGGUGGAAUUCCACGUGUAGCAGUGAAAUGCGUAGAUAUGUGGAGGAACACCAAUGGCGAAGGCAGCCCCCUGGGAUAACACUGACGCUCAUGCACGAAAGCGUGGGGAGCAAACAGGAUUAGAUACCCUGGUAGUCCACGCCCUAAACGAUGUCAACUAGUUGUUGGGGAUUUACUUCCUUGGUAACGUAGCUAACGCGUGAAGUUGACCGCCUGGGGAGUACGGCCGCAAGGUUAAAACUCAAAGGAAUUGACGG
rnacentral:rRNA from 1 species